rnacentral:lncRNA from 1 species
CCUGACACCCAAGGAAGUGGCCUAAACGUUCUGCUGGAAAGAGGGCAGAGAGUGAGCAGAGGAAAGGCAUCCAGGUGAGGGCCGUGGCCAUGCCCAGAGGUGCCUACAUGUUGAAGAACAGUCAUUCAUGGCCCUAAUUUAGGCCUUCAAAACCUGCAAUUCCAGACAUUCCCAUGGGGAGGCGCUCAGCCCAGUGGUUGAAGACGUAGAGACCUCAUGGCAAUGCAGGUGUUUCUCCUGGGUCUCUGAGAGAAUGUGAGUGGGGCAAGGGGCAGCCCACACCCCCAGCAGCCUUUGCUAAGCACCAGGGAGGGUAUUCACAGCAGCUGUGGGAAUUGGUAAAUGCCCCAGUUUUAUAGAUGUGGGAGAAGCUGCCAUCCCUAAACUCCUAACUCAGCCCCCUGCCCCGCCCCCACCACAUGCACACUGAUCCCACAAAUUCUGCCAUCACCGGGAAAAGCCAAACGUCUGCACCAAACUGAGGCUCUCGGCCUUACUUCCAAGGAAAGACAAUUGCCCUGGAAGGCUGAGGAGAUCACCACAAGGGGGAAGAGGGCUCAGCUGUGCUUAGACACAAACUUGCCCCGUGCUUCUGGAAAGUUCCUUGCUACCCCAAGCCUUGAUUUCUUCAUCUGUAAAACGAGCGUGCAAGAAGACAUCUCUGAAUCCUGCCCAGCUCCAUGGAGCUACGACAAAGCUGACCUUCACGAAGCACAGCCAGGCUCACUGUGUCAGCAACCAACAGCAGAAGCGAUUGUUAAACAGCAAUCAUUAAACAAGUCGCCAGAUGAUCCCAGAGCAAACCUGCCUCCUACAGCAGAAACCGGGGUCAGAGGCAGGCCCGGCCAGUACUCACAAGGUAGGAGCCUUGUCUCUGAACGCUGUUUCUGAUCAGCAGUCUUCCUUGUCCCCACUGUCAGUGUCCCAGGAUGGAGCUGACAUUUCUCUCACGCCCGAGCCUCGGUGUUCCCAUGACCGUGUCAUCUCUACCACCUAGCGCUGGGCCAUCAGGGGCAGAGCUUGCCUUGGCACACCCAGUGUCUCACAGGGGUUCACUUUGCUGGUGAGGCGCUUCUUGAGGAUUAAAAUGCUCCCUUCCUCCAGUGUUUGACUGGAAAACCCAACAAAGGUGUUCAUCCCCUCCUGAUUUCUCUGGACAGAUGAAACAUGUGGGUGGUUUCCAGGGCUAACCUAAGCCUCCAGAGGGUGAGCGGGAGGGGUGAGCAGUGAGCAGAUCAAGUGACCUAUGAAAGGGGACCCUCGCCGUCCACCCACCUCCAGACUGGCUGGGGAGGUUUUCUGUGGGAUGGGAGAAGAGUCCAGAUGGGGCCGAAAGGACGUACUGUCUUUGAUAUUCUACACCCUGCUCAUGCUCAGUUUCCCCUUUUGCCCUAUUUCAGCCUUGCACUAAGCAGAAGGCUGUGAGUUUUUUCUCUUUAAAAAAAAAUAAUCACAAACCUCUUUCAAUUGUGCUCAUUCUGCUACCACUGAAGAUGUGGGAAGAGGUGUAGGUGGCUUUUCUUUUUUAACAAUAGGUACAAGCUGUCAAUUCAUUCUA